rnacentral:rRNA from 1 species
AGAGUUUGAUCCUGGCUCAGGACGAACGCUGGCGGCGUGCUUAACACAUGCAAGUCGAGCGGAAAGGCCCUUCGGGGUACUCGAGCGGCGAACGGGUGAGUAACACGUGAGCAACCUGCCCUCAGCUCUGGGAUAGCUCCCGGAAACGGGAAUUAAUACCGGAUAUGACCCCAACCGACAUCGGUCAGGGUGGAAAGGAUUCCGGCUGAGGAUGGACUCGCGGCCUAUCAGCUAGUUGGUGGGGUAACGGCCCACCAAGGCGACGACGGGUAGCCGGCCUGAGAGGGCGACCGGCCACACUGGGACUGAGACACGGCCCAGACUCCUGCGGGAGGCAGCAGUGGGGAAUAUUGCGCAAUGGGCGAAAGCCUGACGCAGCGACGCCGCGUGGGGGAUGAAGGCCUUCGGGUUGUAAACCCCUUUCAGCAGGGACGAAGCGAGAGUGACGGUACCUGCAGAAGAAGCGCCGGCUAACUACGUGCCAGCAGCCGCGGUAAU